AAACCAUGCAUCGGGCAUUUACGUAGUAAAUCUUUAAAUUGCUCAUAAGCUUCAUAAGAGGUUUUAUCUUCCCUUUUCUUCAAAGAUUUGAUGCCAUUUCUCAUCCU